UCCUGGGAUGGGGGUAAAAACCCUAUCCCAUGCUGUUCAACCCUUUGUCUUUUGCGUACUGUAUGUUUCCUCGGCGGGUUCGCCCGCCGAUAGGACACUUCAAAACCUUUUGUAAUUGCAAUCAGCGUCAGAAAAACUAUAAUAGUUACAACUUUCAACAACGGAUCUCUUGGUUCUGGCAUCGAUGAAGAACGCAGCGAAAUGCGAAAAGUAGUGUGAAUUGCAGAAUUCAGUGAAUCAUCGAAUCUUUGAACGCACAUUGCGCCCCUUGGUAUUCCAUGGGGCAUGCCUGUUCGAGCGUCAUUUGUACCCUCAAGCUCUGCUUGGUGUUGGGUGUUUGUCCCGCCUUCGCGCGUGGACUCGCCUUAAAGUGAUUGGCAGCCGGAAUAAUUCUGGGGAACGCAGCACAACUGCAGCCUCCAUUUUACGCCGAGCGUCCAGUAAGCCUUUUUUUCACGUUUGACCUCGGAUCAGGUAGGGAUACCCGCUGAACUUAAGCAUAUCA
rnacentral:rRNA from 1 species